UUUCGAGGUAGGAGUCGAGUACUGUAAGGUAUGGUGCUGGGUGCAGAUGCAGUGUGGCUCUGGAUAGCACCUUAUGGACAGUUGUGUCCCCAAGGAAGGAUGAGAAUAGCUACUGAAGUCCUAAACAGCAAGCCUAACUCAAGCCAUUGGCACACAGGCAUUAGACAGAAAGCUGGAAGUUGAAAUGGUGGAGUCCAACUUGCCUGGACCAGCUUAAUGGUUCUGCUCCUGGUAACGUUUUUAUCCAUGGAUGACUUGCUUGGGUAAGGACAUGAAGACAGUUCCUGUCAUACCUUUUAAAGGUAUGGAGAGUCGGCUUGACUACACUGUGUGGAGCAACUUUUAAAGAAGCAAAGGACUCAGAAUUCAUGAUUGAAGAAAUGCAGGUUAGUUUAAACUUUUAAGGAAAUUUUUAAGGUGGCAAAAGGUUUUGGUGGCAUAUACACCUUAAUCUGUAGAUGGGAGUGAUUAGCUGUUUAAAAGUUAAAAUGUGACUGAGAAGGAAAUUGAGUAGGGCAAAUUUUAAAUGGGUAUUAUUUUUCAUCUUCAAACAGGCAGACCUGUUAUCCUAAACUAGGUGAGUCAGCUUUUGGUACAUGUGAUGAUUUUCAGUGUAACCAAUGAUGUAGUGAUUCUGCCAAAUGAAAUAUAAUGAUAUCACUGUAAAACCGUUCCAUUUUGAUUCUGAGGUUACUCUACUAACAAGCAUCACACAUUUGUAUUUUGCCAUGAUUAAUAUGUUGGCUUCGUUUUCAGGGUUUUUAACGACCACAACAAGCAAGCAUGCAGCUUACUGCUUGAAAGGGUCUUGCCUCACCCAAGCUGGAGUGCAGUGGCCUUUGAAGCUUACUACAGCCUCAAACUUCUGGGCUCAAGUGAUCCUCAGCCUCCCAGUGGUCUUUGUAGACUGCCUGAUGGAGUCUCAUGGCACAAGAAGAUUAAAACAAUGUCUCCAAUUUUAAUAAAUUUUUGCAAUCCA
rnacentral:sRNA from 1 species